rnacentral:rRNA from 1 species
CGGAUUGCAGGCUGCAACCCGCCUGCAUGAAGCCGGAAUCGCUAGUAAUCGCGGAUCAGAAUGCCGCGGUGAAUACGUUCCCGGGUCUUGUACACACCGCCCGUCACACCAUGGGAGUCGGGAAUGCCCGAAGUCAGUGGCCCAACCGGAAGGGGGGAGCUGCCGAAGGCAGGCCCGGUGACUGGGGUGAAGUCGUAACAAGGUACC